GAGCUGGGGAGGCUUUGCUUUAAGGGGGGGAACCUGUGAGGGGCGAGGGGAGCGUUCCUCACGUUUUGUGACAGAAAGUGGUUUGGAAAACACAUUUUUUUUUCUGUUUUUUUCCUUUUUUUUAACCAUUCGGGUUAAAAAGAGGCAAAUUAAAAGGCGUGUUUUGGUUUGGGGCUAUUUCCCCUCUUUUUCUCUCCUGGCACUUGUGGUUCUGAGGCUCAGCCGCCCCUCAGGCCUGGCGGUGGGACGCGCUUCUCCUCACGGUCUCUCUCUCGUUGCCGCCACAGGGGCGCGAGGCGCUUGCCGCCACAAAUUGUGGUAUUUUUUUAACCAGCCUCAGCCCUCCCUGUUCAAAAACCCAAAUUCUUGUCCAGACCUGCACUUUUAAGUCGGCUCUUGGCUUCCAAAGCUGUGCUGGCAGGGCCUGAGCCGCUCCCCCUCUCCUCCCAGGGGAGCCUGCCCCAGCAGGCCCGGCCGUGGAUGCAGCGGGGCUUGUAGGGUUUGUUUGUUUGUUCAGUCCUAUUAUUCCUGGCACCGCCACAAACCUCUGAAGUAAAAAGGUCUCCUGUGCUGGUGGAAACGCACCGAGUUUGUUUGGUGGUAGAAGGGUGGCUGCAGGGCUGCCUGGCCGUGCUCGCCCACCUUCUUUGUGGAAAAAGGCUCGCGCCCCGCCAGCCCCAGUCAUGUCGUCCUCUCCCCUGGCCCGUUUUGGUUUGAUUUUGGCCCUGUUUGUGUCUUUUGGGUGGAAAACUUGGAAAUCCAGGCCCCUUGAACCUCGGUUGGGGGUCAGGGUUUACAACAUUCAGGGUCGCCCAACGCAGGAUUCUCAGAAACUUGAGGUCCUUCAGAUGGGGGGAUCCCGGUCAGCCCAGUCACCUUCCUUCCCGCUAGUCAAGUCAACUGGUUUUACGACGACAACUAACCAACGGGACUGUGACUCUGGAAAACCCAUCACUGAGUUUGAUCGGGGGUUUGGGAGUGCCUAAAAGCUUGAUUCUCCUCUAACCUAAGGACAAAGGUUUGAUAAAUGUGCUCUAAAGGGCCCUGAGUUGGGAGAGGGGAACAAUUCUCGACCCAGACAUCUCCCUUUCCUGAGAUGGAGAUGUGCAGAGCCAACUAAAAAUAGGACGUGAACAAUUGGGACCCGGGAGGGAAGGCAUGAAGAGCCACACAUGCACACAAGGGCGGCUCUUGAACGAGUCUCGUUAGGACCAGAACGUGAUGUCCUGCGUCUCGGAGCACUUCGUGCCAUCCCAAGUGUUUUCUGUGAUGUAAGAGUUAAAUAAUUGUCCCUCUCCUUGCAGAGCCCUCGGGGAAGGGACGAUUCACCGCUGGGAGAUCCCUGUUUGUGCGUGACACCUGCUGAGGCUGCCUAUUUCACCAUGAUGCAAGCCUGCUGAAGUCAUGGAGAGGGAACUGAAGGCUCCAGCCUGACACACCGGGGCUCCCCGCCUGCUCCUGGCCCAGCACGUGCGAUAGUUUUCACAGGUCCCGGAUGCCUCCAACGUGACUGACAUCUGGAUUCAAUUUCUUCAAAGAAAGAACCUGCGACAUUUUAAUCCCUUCGGCGGCUUGAAGUCUCGGGGAAAACGAAAGCAUCCAUUACAUUCAUAGCGUAUUCGUUUUCAUUGUUGUGCGUGUCCGUUUUGAAAUCCUGCUUACUAGGAACCGAAACCCGACUGAAAACUAACUUUACAGCUAUUCCUAAUAUGCUAUAUACAGCAUAACAUGCUCAAGGACUGGAAUAUGGACGAUCUCCACAGGCAAUCAUCUCCCAUCCAUUUUCACGUACCCGGGGCUGUCAGCCCCCCGCUGCUGUACACAACAUUGUUUACCGUCCAUGAGCUGUGUUUAACAUUCCACUCCCAGAUAUUUAUAUUCGGAGCCAAAUUCAGAGCAGUCUUCUGGAAAAUGAGCAAAAGUAGGCUAUGACCCAUCAAGAGACGAUUGGGUCAUCUGAAAAGUUUAUGAGCCGGUCUGGAAUCCAGCAUUUAUUUUGGAUGGUGGGAGGUCACUAUAAUUAGCUGCCAUUCAACUCCAUCACACAGUUACAAGUGGAAAAAACAACAACCCGCAGCGUAGAUGCAUUUUUACUGAAAUAGAGCCUCCAACAUUUUGCAGAGCUCUGGAGGAAGAGUCACCUCAACCAUCCCCGAGCCGAAAGUUUGUGUGCUCAGGCCAGGAGAGCAAUUUCCAUCUUAUGAAUACGAACGCUACGCCCAAAAACACGGACCGUCCGAGCUCGUGGUGUUAUUACACACAACAUCUGCCCGAACAACAGAGAAAUGGCGUGAGAAGCUCCAGUUGACUUCAGCUCCCAACCUUCUCGCGUGCCAACUGCUGUUUUUCGGUUGCACGGUGCAGCCAGUGCCAGCGAUACUCAUUUUGAUCAAAGCCUGUUUCCAAAUACAAAUUUGUAACUUAUGCACGGGCACGUUCUUGCAUGAAUCAGACCCGCCAAUAAAACUGCCAUAAAAGUCCUCGCGAGCAGUUAUAUCUUUGGGAGGGGGAAGGGAGGAGGGCGGGACUGUUUUGGUUGUUUCUUUAAAGAUUGUGGAUAUAUAUUCCAAAGGCAGACGUUACGGCUGCAUUAUGUCAUCGUGUUCUUUAUGCUGCGUUAUCCCUGCCUCGAGCCAAGCAGCUUCUGUGGACUCUGACCACGGAAAGACACUCGCUGAUGGUUUUGAGUGAUCUGGACCAGCAAGAAUGCAGACACACGGGGAUUCUCUCUCCCCCUUCCUCUUUUCUUCCAAGUCAUUUUCUACCGUAAGAAUAUUCGGGUUUCAUCUGCUUUCCCCGGAAGGAUUGUCGCUGUCAGCUUUAGCGUCACAGUCUCUCUCUGCUGCCAACAUGAGCACAACUCCAGGGCUUGUUUGGGCUGGACUCCUCUCGCAGCCAGGCUGAGUAAUAUUCACAGAGCUGGUCCCUGAAGGUGAGUAAGGCUUGGAGAGGGCACAGCACGGAGGUUCAUAAAAGGGUCUCCACUAAGACUUCGCUUCCUCUGUGGAAUCCCUCUUCCUAAAGCCUUACACAGACAACCCAUAACCAGCAGAAAACAUCAUCCAGACAAGACGUGAUUCUUACAUAUUACUCAGCUUGGCUUCAUUCUGCCUCUGGUAAAGUACACUAUCGCAUCCGUGUAUUCCCUGUCAUGUUCUGAAAACUAUUUAUCCAGUUGCUAGCAAACAUCAAGAUACACACGCCUUCAAAAAACACAGGACUGCUUCCUCCCGUGAAUCAUUUAACGCCUUACAUAACUGCGGAUAACAUGCAAUCAGUCUGUACGCGAUCGAUUAACAAAAAGUAGCUCAUAAACCUACCUGAAAUGCAAAAGUAACUCUCAGUAUUGAAGCAUAAAGAUCUGCUUAAC